rnacentral:rRNA from 1 species
AGGUCAAGCUAAUAAGGGCUAACGGUGGAUACCUAGGCACACGGAAGCGAAGAAGGACGUAGUUACCGACGAAACGCUUCGGGGAGCGGGAAGCAAGCAUUGAUCCGAAGAUAUCCGAAUGGGGCAACCCUAAACACGACCACCUGAAUACAUAGGGUGGAGCGAGCAAACCUGGUGAACUGAAACAUCUUAGUAGCCAGAGGAAAAGAAAGCAACAGCGAUUCCCCCAGUAGCGGCGAGCGAAAAGGGAACAGCCUAAACCAAGUUCUUCGGAACUUGGGGUCGUGGGACAGUAACAAAAGACUGGGAAAUUUAGACGAAGCGGCUGAAAACCGCACCAGAGAAGGUGAAAGUCCUGUAGUCGAAAAAGGAACCAGCUUAACUGCAUCCCGAGUAGCAUGGGGCACGUGAAAUCCCGUGUGAAUCUGCCUCGACCACGAGGUAAGGCUAAAUAUUCCCGUGUGACCGAUAGAGAAACAGUACCGCGAGGGAAAGGUGAAAAGAACCCCGGAAGGGGAGUGAAAUAGAACAUGAAACCGUUAGCCUACAAGCAAUGGGAGGACGAUUGAACGUCUGACCGUGUGCCUGUUGAAGAAUGAGCCGGCGACUUACAGGUUAUGGCAGGUGAAGGGGGAAGACCCCACAGCCCCAGCGAAAGCGAGUCUGAAUAGGGCGAAACGUCAUAAUUUGUAGACCCGAACCCGGGUGAUCUAACCAUGGCCAGGAUGAAGCUUGGGUAAAACCAAGUGGAGGUCCGAACCGACUAAUGUUGAAAAAUUAGCGGAUGAGCUGUGGUUAGGGGUGAAAUGCCAAUCGAACUCGGAGCUAGCUGGUUCUCCCCGAAAUGUGUUGAGGCGCAGCGGUAGUGGAAGUUUAGUCGGGGUAAAGCACUGUUUCGCCGCGGGCUGGGAGACCGGUACCAAGGCGAGGCAAACUCUGAAUACGGCUAAAAAAACUACCAGUGAGACGGUGGGGGAUAAGCUUCAUCGUCAAGAGGGAAACAGCCCAGACCACCAGCUAAGGUCCCCAAAUGAUAACUAAGUGAGAAAGGAGGUGGGAGUGCAUUGACAACCAGGAGGUUUGCCUAGAAGCAGCAAUCCUUAAAAGAGUGCGUAAUAGCUCACUGGUCAAGCGCUCCUGCGCCGAAAAUGAACGGGGCUAAGUUAUCUACCGAAGCUGUGGACUACAUUGUAGUGGUAGGGGAGCGUUCUAUAGGGGGUGAAGCAGUAGCGGCAAGCAGCUGUGGACUCUAUAGAAGUGAGAAUGUCGGCUUAAGUAGCGAAAAUGUGGGUGAGAAUCCCACACCCCGAAACCCCAAGGUUUCCUCCGCAAGGCUCGUCCGCGGAGGGUCAGUCAGGACCUAAGGCGAGGCUGAAAAGCGUAGUCGAUGGACAACGGGUUAACAUUCCCGUACCGAUUAAUGAUUGUGCCGGAGAACGGAGAAGGUCAACGUCAGCUGGAUGUUGGUUACCAGUGCAAGCAGUCGAGGCGAUGAGAGGUGGUGAAAACACCAGGAGCUAAGACGCGAGUCCCACCUCCCACGGGAGGGAAGUGGCGCUGAUCAAGCUUCCUAGAAAAGCCCGAACCACGUUAAUCAUUAAUUGCCUGUACCCGAAACCGACACAGGUGGGGAAGUAGAGAAUACUAAGGGGCGCGAGAUAACUCUCUCUAAGGAACUCGGCAAAAUGACCCCGUAACUUCGGGAGAAGGGGUACCCUCGCAAGAGGGUCGCAGUGAAUAGGCCCAGGCGACUGUUUACCAAAAACACAGGUCUCCGCCAAGUCGUAAGACGCAGUAUGGAGGCUGACGCCUGCCCAGUGCCGGAAGGUUAAGGAAGUUGGUCAGGAGUAAUCUGAAGCUGACGACCGAAGCCCCGGUGAACGGCGGCCGUAACUAUAACGGUCCUAAGGUAGCGAAAUUCCUUGUCGGGUAAGUUCCGACCCGCACGAAAGGCGUAACGAUCUGGGCACUGUCUCGGAGAGAGACUCGGCGAAAUAGGAUUGUCUGUGAAGAUACGGACUACCUGCACCUGGACAGAAAGACCCUAUGAAGCUUUACUGUAGCCUGGAAUUGGCUUCGGGCUUCGCUUGCGCAGGAUAGGUGGGAAGCUUUGAAACUCUCCUCGUGGGGAGGGUGGAGCUAACGGUGAGAUACCACUCUGGCGAGGCUAGAAUUCUAACCCUGACCCCUAAUCGGGGCGGGAGACAGUUUCAGGUGGGCAGUUUGACUGGGGCGGUCGCCUCCUAAAAGGUAACGGAGGCGCGCAAAGGUUCCCUCGGUCCCGUUGGAAAUGGGACGAUAGAGUGCAAAAGCAGAAGGGAGCUUGACUGUGAGACCCACAAGUCGAACAGGGACGAAAGUCGGCUUUAGUGAUCCGACGGCACCGCGUGGAAGGGCCGUCGCUCAACGGAUAAAAGUUACUCUAGGGAUAACAGGCUGAUCUCCCCCAAGAGUUCACAUCGACGGGGAGGUUUGGCACCUCGAUGUCGGCUCAUCGCAACCUGGGGCUGAAGUCGGUCCCAAGGGUUGGGCUGUUCGCCCAUUAAAGCGGUACGUGAGCUGGGUUCAGAACGUCGUGAGACAGUUCGGUCCAUAUCCGGUGUAGGCGUAAGAGCAUUGCGAGGAGCCUUCCUUAGUACGAGAGGACCGGGAAGGACGCACCGCUGGUGUACCUGUUAUCGUGCCAACGGUAAACGCAGGGUAGCCAUGUGCGGAGCGGAUAACCGCUGAAAGCAUCUAAGUGGGAAGCCCACCUCCAGAUGAUUGCUCUCAUGGCAUUAAGCCAGUAAGGUCUCGGGUAGACUACCCGUUGAUAGGCUCUAGAUGGAAGCUCGGUAACGAGUGCAGUCGAGGAGUACUAACCGACCGAGGGCUUGACCUG